GAUGAAGAACGCAGCGAAAUGCGAUACGUAAUGUGAAUUGCAGAAUUCAGUGAAUCAUCGAAUCUUUGAACGCACAUUGCGCCUGCCAGCACUCUGGCAGGCAUGCCUGUUCGAGCGUCAUUUCAACCAUCAAGCCCUAGGCUUGCGUUGGAGCCCUGCGGCUGCCGCAGGCCCCUAAAAGCAGUGGCGGGCUCGCUAUCACACCGAGUGCAGUAGAUUACUCUUCGCUCAGGGCGUGUGGCGGGUUCCAGCCGUGGAACCCCCUACUUCUCAAGGUUGACCUCGGAUCAGGUAGGAAUACCCGCUGAACUUAAGCAUAUCAAUAAGCGGAGGA
rnacentral:misc_RNA from 1 species